AUUUCACUUGUCUUAAAGAGCCCUGAAGCUUGCAGUCUUUCCUGGUGGGGAAAAGCAGGAAAGUUUUAUUGGAAGAUGGUUUAAAAACCAAAAUCUGUACUUAGACUGUUUGGGAGAGACAAAUGAAGUAGAGGAUCAUCUGCAAAAUAUGAGGAGGCAGAUUUUUGACUCUCUGAGCCGUGUAUUCCUAUUGACAGCCUGAUCGUUCCGCUCCAGAGCCUGUCAGCACUUCAGCCAGCAGCAGAAGAUUCCUGGGAACCAUCUUUGGUGUUUGGCAGGCUCCUUGCCAGGGCCAACGGCGUGCCCCUUCAGCAUGCAGGGUUUGGAAUCUCUUUCCAGUGGACUCCUGGAACAAAAGGGCCCUUUUUCACAUUCUGGAAGAAUCUCUGCCUGUGGAGGUAAACUGGCUUCUCGGUCCUGCUCCUUUACUUUAUUUCACAAAACGUCAAGGCAUUUCUAAUUUUAGGCCACUUAUCAGAAGUCUGUUCCUGUUUCAAGUCAUAGCUUUCAGAGUCAUCACUCAUACGCGAGAGAGGUAUUUGGAUUGGCUGGAUCACGUUGCUUUGGAUUUGAGAAUGCGUGCCCUGAACUGCGACCUGAGGAGGACAGCACUGUACUAGAUGCACCUGAGCGGGGCCUGUACCUGUUCUGUGGCGGGCCUUGGAAGGGAACAGACACCAAUACGGACUCAUGCACACAAAAAGUGCUCCCAGGAUGGAAGUAGCUACUAUUCUAAAGCAAGUUUGUUUUGGAGAAAGCCAAUUUGUCAAGCAACAGACUCACAAUAAACCAUUUUAGCAAAAA